GAACGGUCCUUUCCGGCUUCGGCUGGUAAGGAUAGUGGCAGACGGCUGAGUAACACGUAAGUAACCUGCCCUGAAGAGGGGGAUAAUCUCGAGAAAUCGGGCCUAAUACCCCGUAGGCUUCUCUUCAACAUGUUGGAGGGAAGGAAAGGUUCUCGAUUCGUCGGGCGCCACUUUAGGAGGGGCUUGCGGCCUAUCAGGUAGUUGGUGGGGUAAUGGCCUACCAAGCCGUAGACGGGUAACCGGUGUGAGAGCACGAUCGGUCAGAGGGGGACUGAGACGCGGCCCCCACUCCUACGGGAGGCAGCAGCAGGGAAUCUUGCGCAAUGGGCGAAAGCCUGACGCAGCGACACCGCGUGGGGGAAGAAGGCUCUUGGGUUGUAAACCCCUUUUCUUGGGGAAGAGUAAGGACGGUACCCGAGGAAUAAGGUUCGGCUAACUACGUGCCAGCAGCCGCGGUAACACGUAGGAACCGAGCGUUGUCCGGAUUUACUGGGCGUAAAGGGCGAGUAGGUGGCCCGUUAAGUCUUGUGUGAAAUCUCCCGGCUCAACUGGGAGGGGUCAUGAGAUACUGGCAGGCUUGAGGGCAGUAGAGGAAAG
rnacentral:rRNA from 1 species